UACGUAGGGGGCAAGCGUUGUCCGGAAUCAUUGGGCGUAAAGCGCGUGUAGGCGGCUCGAUAAGUCUGCUGUGAAAGUUCAGGGCUCAACCCUGAAAUGCCGGUGGAAACUGUCGAGCUAGAGUCCGGAAGAGGCGAGUGGAAUUCCUGGUGUAGCGGUGAAAUGCGCAGAUAUCGGGAAGAACACCCGUGGCGAAGGCGGCUCUCUGGGCCUUACCUGACGCUGAGGAGCGAAAGCGUGGGGAGCGAACAGG
rnacentral:rRNA from 1 species